GAGCAAAGGGGCCGGAUAAAGUGCCGAUCUUUGCAUUGAAGGUUGGCGGCCGCGAUUGCAGUUCUCCAUGCCGCUCAGAUUUUCCUAUGUUUUGUGACGGCCUCGAACAAGCUGCUACAUC
rfam:Oryza sativa Japonica Group DNA, chromosome 12, cultivar: Nipponbare, complete sequence.